AAUAUUGCACAAUGGGCGCAAGCCUGAUGCAGCCAUGCCGCGUGUAUGAAGAAGGCCUUCGGGUGUAAAGACGUUUCAGCAGUGAGGAAGGUGGAGUAUGUUAAUAGCAUAUUCAUUGACGUUAGACUGCAGAAGAAGCACCGGCUAACUCCGUGCCAGCAGCCGCGGUAAUACGGAGGGUGCGAGCGUUAAUCGGAAUUACUGGGCGUAAAGCGCAUGCAGGUGGUUUGUUAAGUCAGAUGUGAAAGCCCGGGGCUCAACCUCGGAAUUGCAUUUGAAACUGGCAAACUAGAGUACUGUAGAGGGGGUAGAAUUUCAGGUGUAGCGGUGAAAUGCGUAGAGAUCUGAAGGAAUACCGGUGGCGAAGGCGGACCCCCCUGGACAGAUACUGACACUCAGAUUGCGAAAGCGUGGGGAGCUAAACCAGGAUUAGAUACCCCUCGGUAG
rnacentral:rRNA from 1 species